rnacentral:rRNA from 1 species
GACGAACCGUGCGAACGUUAUUCGGAAUCACUGGGCUUAAAGCGCGUGUAGGCGGGCGGCCACGUCCGGCGCUGAAAUCCCCCGGCUCAACCGGGGAACGGGCACGAUACGACGUCCGCUGGAGGGGCAGUAGGGGGACCUGGAACUUCCGGUGGAGCGGUGAAAUGCGUUGAGAUCGGAAGGAACGCCCGUGGCGAAAGCGAGGUCCUGGGCGCUCCUGCGACGCUGAGACGCGAAAGCCAGGGGAGCGAACGGG